GGGGUUGUAGCUCAGUGGUAGAGCACUUGGCUAGCAUAUGUGAGGCCCUGGGUUCAAUCCUCAGCAGCACAU
rfam:Ictidomys tridecemlineatus contig025540, whole genome shotgun sequence.